rnacentral:lncRNA from 1 species
UGGCGAAUGAUGGAAGGGUUGUCAUUUGACUUAGACUCGGAGGCUUUGCCGAUAAGAUUGGAAAUGUCAUUGCCAAUGAAGGAAGGACUGAAGACUACUGCUGAUGAAGCUUAUGAUGAUGGGGAGCAUGCCGAUGGAGCAAAAGACGAUGGAGUUUCAUCGUAAUGAAGGCGGACAAGGAAGUAGAUAGGUGUCGUUUUCCUUUUUUGUAUUUGUUAGAGUAUGAUUCAUGUAAGAGUCAUAUUUUCCUUAGAUAUGAACUCGACGUCCUAGUCAUGUAGGGGAUGAGAUAUUUAUACCGCCAUAUAGGGGAUGAACCAAUCACCAAUAUAGAACAAACAAGCACCGGGAGAAUGCCAAUCAAACACAAUUGAGACACCAAUUUUUCUCCCGAGGUUCACGUGCUUGCUGGCACGCUAUGUCCCCAUUGUGUCGACCAACACUUGGUGGUUCAGCGGCUAAGAGGUGUAGCACGAAUCUUGUCCUCACUAGGACACCGCAAGAACCUACCCACAAGUGAGGUAGCUCAAUGACACGCGCAAUCCACUAGAGUUGCCUUUGGCUCUUCGCCAAGGUAGGCACAAAACCCCACACAAUCACCGGGAGAUGGCCACGAACAAUCACCAACUCAUGCCAAUGCUCCUCCACUGCUCCAAGCUAUCUAGGUGGCGGCAACCACCAAGAGUAACAAGAAAACUGCAGCCAAAUCUAUCCCCAAGUGCCACUAGAUGCAAUCACUCAAGCAAAUACACUUGGAAUCACUCCCAAUCUCAUAAAGAUGGUUAAUCUAUGAAGGAGAUGAGUGGGAGGAGUUUGCUUAGGCUCACAAGGAUGUCUAGUAGUCAAGAAUGCCAAGAGAGUGAGCCCCAAGCCGGCCAACACAUAUUUAUAAGCCCCUGUUGAUGGUUCUUAAGUAUCAAUUUUAAUCAUGAAAUAAAUAAAGAAAAGGACCAAUAUACAAACAACACCUAGAAUUAGGGUUUGACCUGACAGAAUUCCACGAGUUUUGCUGUUUAUCUAUUUCUGUAGGGGGUUAUCAGGAAAUAUGGAAGAAAGGCCCACACGUCGGGUUUACAUAGAGAUAUUAACUUGUGCGCCAAUUUUCCUCGGUCUAGAAGGUUCCAGAAGCCACACGAACGAGCGGGAGGCCGAGAGGGCCCACAGGCAGGGCGCCCGCCCUACCCCCCGGGCACCCACCCACCUAUGGUGGCCAAUCAGGUUGAAUCACACAGAUUAUGCUCCACCGCCUUUGAGGAUCAAGGAGAACCGUUCAAUCAAGGUCGGUAUGAUCUGACAGCCCAGAUUCAUUUGAAAGGGCUAUAUAAGCAAGGCCCCUGGCCCCUGGAGAGAUAGAAUCCCCAUUAUUCACUCGCAUAUUUUCCAGAGAGGAUUCAGAGAGAGAGGUUCCCUUAGGGUUCCAACCUCAUAGGGCUUAGCAUCCAAUGUGAGAGUAGAAUUAGUUCUACUAGAUUGAGAGAGAUAGAGUGGAGGUGUAGAUCGGAGGAAGCCCGGCCUGUCGGUGUCUACUCCGAGGUUGUACCUGCGGGAUCAAGUCUCUUAACCCGAGGCUUGCUCCUAGGAUUCUUUAGUAUUUUGACUUCUAAAUUCUAGUAAGUUCUUUGUUUUAUUGUUCUUUGAUUUAUGAGUUUACUUUGAUCUCUUUGCGUAGAGUUUAGAGUAAUUAUCUCUAGCAUAAACGUGGUGUUUGGGCUAGGAUACUCAUAGAUAUCCCCUGUCUAGCCGGACCGUGGUAGUAGCGAGGAACGUGACAUUUCCGAGUUACCUUUGUAGCCCAUAAUCCCGUUAGCAGGAUCGAUAGGGUCUAUAGGUGCGGGUCGAACAUUCUCUGUGGUGUCUAGAUUCCGUGAGCCUCCCCAACAGAACAGUAGAUCAUCCUUACCAAGGUUAGAACGAGGGUGCUGUUGAAGUCUUCUCUAUACAUCACUCACAUCGAAUCAUAGUGGUUGUAGCCUAAAGGUUAGUAGUAAUAGACCUGGUUAGGCAGAUGCACGCUUUCUCCUAGUGGUAAAAAUAUAAAUACGAUACUCUGGAUAACAUUCCGGGUGAAGUGCUCACCGAUAUCUGUGCGCUUGCGGAUUAAUUCUUGAUUGCGUUACCAGAUAUCAACAAGCAUUUCUAGCACCGUUGCCGGGGAGAAAGACGGUUUGCUGAGAUAACCUUGAGUCUUACUACUAACUUGUAUUCAUACUUUUAUCUUUUCUUAUCUUUUUAUAUUCUUUAUUUUCCUUACUCUUACCUUAUGGAAAACCAAGAUUCUAAAUCGAUCUAUCAAUUUGCAACACCUUCGAAAACUGAACUUUUACCAUGGGAGUCAUCACAGCCUAUCCAAACAUCUCAGUAUAGUUAAGUUCCAGGUUGAUUGCCAUGAUUCAAAACCUAUCUUUUUUAGGAAAGGAAGACGAAAACCCUUACCUUCAUAUUAGAGAUUUUGAGGAAACAUGUGAUUGUCUUCGCAUUGAAGGCAUUUAUGAUAAAACUUUACGUUGGAAGCUUUUUCCUUUUUCUUUAAGGGGAGAAGCUAGACGAUGGUAUAGUCAGAAGGUAAGUCAACAAUGAGGUGAAUGGGGAGUCUUACGAGCCAACUUUUGUCUAGAUUUCUAUUCCCUCGACCGUAUCAACGACUUUAGACUCGAAGUCCUAUCUUUUAAACAAAAAGAUAAUGAAACUUUGGGAAAAUCCUGGAAACAUUUUUCUAAUAUUUUAGAAUAUGGUCCAAACCUUAAUCUUGAAGACCCUAUUCUCUUAUUUCACUUUUUUUGAGGUCUUCAGAAAGAUCAAAAACAAAUGCUACAUACAAUGUCUAGAGGUUCUUUCUUUCGCAUCCCUACCGAUGACGCUAGAGCAAUCCUUGAUAGAAUCCUAGAAGCUGAGAUGGAUAAUACCCUUCAUGAUGAAACCUACGAAGCCGAAGUAGACACUCUGCCAAAUUCUCCAUCUACUUUAGCUAUCCCAAGUUCCGGGACGACUGCUCUACGCCGAUGGAGCAAAAGACGAUGGAGUUUCAUCGUAAUGAAGGCGGACAAGGAAGUAGAUAGGUGUCGUUUUCCUUUUUUGUAUUUGUUAGAGUAUGAUUCAUGUAAG